rnacentral:rRNA from 1 species
CCUACGGGCGGCAGCAGUGAGGAAUAUUGGUCAAUGGCCGGAAGGCUGAACCAGCCAAGCCGCGUGAAGGACGAAGGUACCAAGCAUUGUAAACUUCUUUUGUCAAGGGACAAAAUCAGGCUCGAGAGCCUGACCGAGAGUACCUGAAGAAAAAGCAUCGGCUAACUCCGUGCCAGCAGCCGCGGUAAUACGGAGGAUGCGAGCGUUAUCCGGAUUUAUUGGGUUUAAAGGGUGUGUAGGCGGAAUGCCAAGUCAGCGGUAAAAGCGCGGGGCUCAACCUCGCUCCGCCGUUGAAACUGGCGUUCUUGAGUGGGAGAGAAGUAUGCGGAAUGCGCGGUGUAGCGGUGAAAUGCAUAGAUAUCGCGCAGAACUCCGAUUGCGAAGGCAGCAUGCCGGCUCCCCACUGACGCUGAAGCACGAAAGCGUGGGUAUCGAACAGGAUUAGAUACCCUUGUAGUC